rnacentral:rRNA from 1 species
AUUGAACGCUGGCGGCAGGCCUAACACAUGCAAGUCGAACGCGUGGCGCACGGGUGAGUAAUGUCUGGGAAACUGCCCGAUGGCGGGGGAUAAAUACUGGAAACGGUAGCUAAUACCGCAUACCAGCGGAUGUGCCCAGAUGGGAUUAGCUAGUAGGUGGGGUAACGGCUCACCUAGGCGACGUUCCGUAGCUGGUCUGAGAGGAGGACCAGCCACACUGGAACUGAGACACGGCCCAGACUCCUACGUGAGGCAGCAGUGGGGAAUAUUGGACAAUGGGGGCAAGCCUGAUCCAGCCAUGCCGCGUGUAUGAAGAAGGCCUUCGGGUUGUAAAGUACUUUCAGCGAAGAGGCGUUACUCGCAGAAGAAGCACCGGCUAACUCCGUGGCAGCAGCCGCGGUAAUUC